GGCAGCCGCCGCGGUAACACCGGCGGCCCGAGUGGUGAUCGUGAUUAUUGGGUCUAAGGGUCCGUAGCCGGUUUGGCCAGUCCUCCGGGAAAUCUGAUAGCUCAACUAUUAGGCUUUCGGGGGAUACUGCCAGACUUGGAACCGGGAGAGGUAAGAGGUACUACAGGGGUAGGAGUGAAAUCUUGUAAUCCCUGUGGGACCACCUGUGGCGAAGGCGUCUUACCAGAACGGGUUCGACGGUGAGGGACGAAAGCUGGGGGCACGAACCGGAUUAGAUACCCGGGUAGUCCCAGCCGUAAACGAUGCUCGCUAGGUGUCAGGCAUGGCGCGACCGUGUCUGGUGCCGCAGGGAAGCCGUGAAGCGAGCCACCUGGGAAGUACGGCCGCAAGGCUGAAACUUAAAGGAAUUGGCGGGGAGCACAACAACGGGUGGAGCCCUGCGGUUUAAUUGGACUCAACGCCGGACAACUCACCGGGGGCGACAGCAAUAUGUAGGCCAAGCUGAAGACUUUGCCUGAAUCGCUGAGAAGAGGUGCAUGG
rnacentral:rRNA from 1 species